ensembl:lincRNA
AUUGCCAGAGCCCAAGGUUGUUCCCUCAAGAUGUAAGAUCUCAGCUAUUGUUCCAGCACCAUGCCUGCCUGCCUGCCUGCUGCCAUACUCCCAACUAUGAUGAUCAUGGACCCUAACGUUCUGAAACUGCAAGACCGAUAAGGAAAUACAGCUUAAAUGAGUGUCAGAGGCUGGCAGGGUGGCUCCGUGGGUAAGGACAGUUGCUGCCAAGACUGAAGAGUUCAGUACCAACUUGCUCCAGCAAGUUGUCAUCUACACACACUGUAAAUAAGUGAAUAAGCAAGACUUACGAUAAAAAGUAGCAGCCAGAUGGAAAGCAGUGGCCAGGAUACCUGUCUUCUGGAGUGCUCAUCUCACCGUCCACACCCUGGCCUUCAAGCCCCUGCUUACCCCCAAGCAAAGCAAACUAGCAAUGACAAGAAACAAGACAAGCAAAACCCUCUGAGAUUUAGCUGAUUGUGGAGGCACACACCUAGAAUGCUAGGACUUGAGAAGCCAAGACAGGAGAAUUGCAAGACUGAGAGUCUUCUCUCCCACCUCUUCUCUCCUCUAGAUCCACCCCUGCUUUGUCUCCCCUUACAAAAGAAUGGGCCUCCCAGAGCCAUCAACUGGACAACUAGACAUGGCACAAGGUGCAAUAAAACCAGGCGUAAACUCUCACACCAGGUGAGAUAACCCAGAAGGAAGAAAAAGGUUCCAGGAGCUGGCAAAAGAGUCAGAGACAACCCUGCUCCUGCUAUUAGGAGACUCCAAACCACCAGUUAUAACAUAUGCAAAGGACUUAGUGCAUAUCCGUAAAAGCUCUGUGAUCGUCAUGUCUGUGACAUCCCUGUGAGCCUCAUGAGCCCUGCUUAGCUGAUUCCAUCCCUUGGCUCCCACAAUUCCUCUGCCCCAUCUUCUGAGUUGGGGGGGGGGUGCUCACUUGAAUUAGUGAAUGCAAACCCAAAGAAAGGGAGAUUUGUUUGUUUGUUUGUUUUUUCCUUGAAAAGAAGGAGGAGGAAGAGGAAGGAUAGAGGAGGAAGAGGAGGAGGAAGAGGAAGAAGAGGCAGAGGAAGAAGAGGAAAAGUCACUUCAAAGCAAAAGUACCCAGUGGAAAACGGGAAGGCACUUUCUAUUGUCAAAUUGAACAUUUUUACAUAAGAGAUACUUUGUGAAUGCCUAGAAUAUCAUAGCGCCAGGCAGACACGAGUCCUGGAUCUUAUCAAAGGCCAUUAUAACCAUUCAGAGGCAAGGAGACUGAGGCUUAUAUAAGCAAUUAGGAACAAAUUCUUGAUUUGUGCCAGGGCCACUAUACUUCUCUCAUACACUCAGAAGCCCGAGAAAGCAUAUGUAUGCUAUGGCCACUGCAGCCGUGAUCUCACAGCAGCUGGGGUGACCUGCACCACAUUAAGUUAGCCAUAGAUGAGGGAGAUGAUUUCCAAGGCCCACCGGUUACUGAGAAGCAAGUUGCUGGGGAGGAAGAGCCAUUUUUCUUUGGUACUACAGUCACAGGUAGGCUUUGAUGGCCCCACACUGGUGCAGUAUGAACAGUAGUAGUUAGACCUACUAGUUUAUAAAAACAAACAAACAAACAAACAAACAUAGAAAGCAUAACAAAAGACAUGGAGUAAGAUGAGGAAGUACUGAAGAGGAUAUGGGAGGGUUUGGAAGGAUAGAAAUGGGGCGUGUGUAUGAUCAUAUUUCAUUGUAUGUAUGGUGCAUGUAUAUGAUCAUAUUUCAUUGUAUAUAUGGGGUAUGUAUAUGAUCAUAUUUUACUGUAUUUAUGGUGCAUGUAUAUGACGAUAUUUCAUUUUAUAUAUAAUAUAUAUAUAUAUAUAUAUAUAUAACUCUGAAAGAAUAAAAAGCUUUUGAAAGAGCAAAAUAGAUGAAGUAAUUCGAGAAAACAAGUAACGGGACAGGACUAUACCUCAGAGAGAGGAAGGAGAAUCUAACUGCAGAGCACUCCAGUUUGGAAUACAAAGGAAACCCAGGGGUGGUGGGUGAAGGGAAAUGGCCCCCAGAGGCUCUAGCAUUUGAAUGCUUGGCCUCCGAUGGUGGUGCAGUUUAGGAAGGUUACAGACCCCUGAGGAGGUGCAGUCUUGCUGGAGGAAGUACUUCAGUGGGAGAGGGCUUUGAGGGCACAUAGCCUCUGCCCACUUCCUGUUCUCUCUGUGCUUCCUGACCUGGGCCAGCAUCACCAGCCUCUGCCUUGCCUCCACCUGCCACGUGGACUCCAUCUCUCAGCACCCGUGAGCUAAAACGAACCCCUUCUUCCUUAGGUGGCUUUUGGUCAGGGUGUUUUAUCAUAGCAACAGAAAAGCAACUAAUACACUCUGCUGGCUUAUAGGUUGACUUUGGAAAAACAACAGAAAAAGAGAGAUGAGAAAUUCGGCCAAAGUGAGCAACUGUGAUCAUAGAUUUGAUGUACAGUUUAAUCUGUUAAAGAGCAGAUGCUACAGAUGAAAGGAAUGUGUAUAUGAAAUGGGUAUUUUGUUGGAAACUUUGAAAUUAUUCUGAGGUAAUAAUCCCUCCAGCAAACUAAUGU